GUCCAGAGCCCGCUAGUCCCGGCCGGACCCGCGCGGCGCCCGGAAGUGCCCGGGACUCUGCCGCCGGGAUGGGUCGGAAAGUGACCGUGGCCACCUGCGCGCUCAACCAAUGGGCCCUGGACUUCGAGGGCAAUUUGCAGAGGAUUUUAAAGAGUAUCGAAAUUGCCAAAUGCAAAGGAGCAACAUACAGGCUUGGACCAGAACUGGAAAUAUGCGGCUACGGGUGCUGGGAUCAUUAUUACGAGUCGGACACCCUCUUGCAUUCGCUCCAAGUCCUGGCUGCCCUUUUGGAGUCUCCAGUCACUCAGGAUAUCAUCUGUGACGUGGGAAUGCCCGUGAUGCACCGGAACGUCCGCUACAACUGCAGGGUGAUAUUUCUCAACAGGAGGAUCCUGCUCAUCAGGCCCAAAAUGGCCUUGGCAAACAAGGGCAACUAUCGGGAGCUACGCUGGUUUACCCCCUGGUCCAGGACUCGGCAAACAGAGGAGUAUUUUCUCCCCCGGAUGCUGCAGAGCCUGACAAAGCAGGAAACCGUGCCCUUUGGAGACGCUGUGCUGGCCACCCGCGACACCUGCAUCGGGAGCGAGAUCUGUGAGGAGCUCUGGACGCCCCACAGCCCGCACGUGGACAUGGGCCUGGACGGCGUGGAGAUCUUCACCAACGCCUCAGGCAGCCACCACGUGCUGCGCAAAGCCCACGCCAGGGUGGAUCUGGUGACCAUGGCUACCACCAAGAACGGCGGGAUCUACUUGCUGGCCAAUCAGAAGGGCUGUGACGGGGACCGACUAUACUACGAUGGCUGUGCCCUGAUAGCGAUGAACGGCCACAUCUUGGCGCAGGGCUCCCAGUUCUCCCUGGACGACGUGGAAGUUCUCACCGCGACGCUGGAUUUGGAGGACGUCCGGAGCUACAGGGCAGAGAUUUCAUCUCGAAACCUGGCGGCCAGCAAGGCGAGCCCCUACCCCCGAGUGAAGGUGGACUUCGCCCUCUCGUCCCGCGAGGACCUGCUGGAGCCUCUGUCCGAGCCCCUCGAGUGGAAGUACCACAGUCCCGCCGAGGAGAUCAGCCUUGGACCCGCCUGCUGGCUCUGGGAUUUCUUAAGACGCAGCCAGCAGGCCGGCUUCUUCUUGCCCCUGAGUGGUGGCGUGGACAGCGCGGCCACCGCCUGCCUCGUCUACUCCAUGUGCCGCCAGGUCUGCGAGGCCGUGAAUAACGGAAAUCAGGAAGUGCUGGCCGACGUCCGGACCAUCGUGGACCAGCUCGACUACACGCCCCGGGACCCCCGAGAGCUCUGCGGGCGUGUGCUGACAACCUGCUACAUGGCCAGCGAGAACUCCUCCCGGGAGACACGUGACAGAGCCGCGGAGCUGGCCCGGCAGAUCGGCAGCCACCACAUCGGUCUCGACAUCGACCCCGCGGUCAAGGCCGUCGUGGGCAUCUUCAGUCUGGCGACGGGGAAGAGGCCUCUGUUCGCGGUUCACGGAGGAAGCCGCCGGGAAAACCUGGCGCUACAGAACGUGCAGGCUCGGAUACGGAUGGUCGUGGCCUAUCUGUUUGCUCAGCUGAGCCUCUGGGCCCGGGGUGCUCGCGGUGGACUGCUGGUGCUCGGAUCGGCCAACGUGGAUGAGAGCCUCCUCGGCUACCUGACCAAGUACGACUGCUCCAGCGCGGACAUCAACCCCAUAGGCGGCAUCAGCAAGACGGACCUCAGGGCCUUCGUCCACUUCUGCCUCGAGCACUUCCAGCUCCCCGCCCUGCAGGGCAUCCUGGCAGCACCAGCCACCGCAGAGCUGGAGCCCUUGGCCGACGGACGGGUGUCCCAGACGGACGAGCUCUCGUAUUCAAGUCUGCGACCCGGCGGACUUCGCCGCGUGUGGCGCGGAGGGCACCCGGCUGCGGACCUCGCGCGCGCGGACGGACGGACGUCUCUCCCACCGACUGUCCGGUGCCCGUGGCGUGGAGAGGCGCUCCCGGGCUCCGUUCUGCCGUGUGCGCCCGUCCCUGUCCCGGUGCCACCCGGCUUUGCAGUGAGCUGCGACACAGGGAAGCGAAGACAUGGGCAUGACGUACGCGGACCUGUCCGUCUACGGCAGACUCCGGAAGGUCGCCAAGACCGGGCCCUAUGGCAUGUUCUGCAAGCUCGUCAGCCUGUGGAAAGACGUGUGUUCCCCGCGGCAGGUGGCUGACAAGGUGAGGUGGUUUUUCUGCAAGUACUCCAUGAACAGGCACAAGAUGACCACACUCACACCCGCGUACCACGCAGAAAGCUACAGCCCCGACGACAACAGGUUUGACCUGCGGCCGUUUCUCUACAACACCAGCUGGCCCUGGCAGUUCCGGUGCAUAGAGGCCCAGGUGCUGCGGCUCGAGAGCAGAGGCUGUCAGGACCUGGAUGGCGUGGACUGACGCCCCCCCCCCCGAGGCUUCCACCUCGCCGGUGACGGUGCGCCCAGAACAGUGUGCCAGCGUCUCCCUCCAUGCCUCGAGGGGGCGGGAUCUUGCUCUGGUUCCUUAAAAACGACUCAAAUAAAGAGCGUGUGAUUUCUGGGA